rnacentral:rRNA from 1 species
UGGGGAAUAUUGCGCAAUGGGGGCAACCCUGACGCAGCCAUGCCGCGUGAAUGAAGAAGGCCUUCGGGUUGUAAAGUUCUUUCGGUAGCGAGGAAGGCAUUUAGUUUAAUAGACUAGGUGAUUGACGUUAACUACAGAAGAAGCACCGGCUAACUCCGUGCCAGCAGCCGCGGUAAUACGGAGGGUGCGAGCGUUAAUCGGAAUAACUGGGCGUAAAGGGCACGCAGGCGGUGACUUAAGUGAGGUGUGAAAGCCCCGGGCUUAACCUGGGAAUUGCAUUUCAUACUGGGUCGCUAGAGUACUUUAGGGAGGGGUAGAAUUCCACGUGUAGCGGUGAAAUGCGUAGAGAUGUGGAGGAAUACCGAAGGCGAAGGCAGCCCCUUGGGAAUGUACUGACGCUCAUGUGCGAAAGCGUGGGGAGCAAACAGGAUUAGAUACCCUGGUAGCCCACGCUGUAAACGAUGUCGAUUUGGGGGUUGAACUUUAAGUUUGGCGCCCGUAGCUAACGUGAUAAAUCGACCGCCUGGGGAGUACGGCCGCAAGGUUA